rnacentral:miRNA from 1 species
GGAGAAAGAAGAGAGGAGGAAGGGAGGAUGGAGAAACAAAACUUGAAAAACAAAAAAAACAUUUUGAACUUGUUUUUAGUUUUCGUUUUCUGUUGCGUUCCACUAGAUUUUCUCCUUCCUCCCUUCUCCUCCCUCUUUUAUUCUU